rnacentral:rRNA from 1 species
AUUGAACGCUGGCGGCAUGCCUUACACAUGCCAGUCGAGCGGUAACAGGUCUUCGGAUGCUGACGAGUGGCGAACGGGUGAGUAAUACAUCGGAACGUGCCCGAUCGUGGGGGAUAACGAAGCGAAAGCUUUGCUAAUACCGCAUACGAUCUACGGAUGAAAGCAGGGGACCGCAAGGCCUUGCGCGAACGGAGCGGCCGAUGGCAGAUUAGGUAGUUGGUGGGAUAAAAGCUUACCAAGCCGACGAUCUGUAGCUGGUCUGAGAGGACGACCAGCCACACUGGGACUGAGACACGGCCCAGACUCCUACGGGAGGCAGCAGUGGGGAAUUUUGGACAAUGGGCGAAAGCCUGAUCCAGCCAUGCCGCGUGCAGGAUGAAGGCCUUCGGGUUGUAAACUGCUUUUGUACGGAACGAAAAGACUCUGGUUAAUACCUGGGGUCCAUGACGGUACCGUAAGAAUAAGCACCGGCUAACUACGUG